rnacentral:lncRNA from 1 species
GGGCAAGUCCAAAAUCAGAAAGCUUCGGAUUAAAAUCUUCAUCCAACAGCACAUUUGAUGAUUUGAAGUCUCGAUAUAUGACCUAGGUAAUCAGUGAAAUCAAUAUGAAGUUCGCAACACAUAAAACGAGUUAGAUAUUUUAGGAACAAAGAAGGAACCAACACAACUUUAUGUUUUACCAAUCAACCUUAUGUAUCAACUGUGCAUCUUGGACAACACAUAUACGGUGUUGAUUUUUAAAUGAACCGAGAAAAAACCAACACAGCCUUACAACCUUAUGUAUCAAUUGUGCAUCUAGGACAAUAUACAGGUAGAUUUUUAAAUGAACCGAGAAGGAACCAACACAACCUUACGUAUCAGUUGUGCAUCUAGGACAACACUUACAAGGUGUUGACUUUUAAACAAACCAAGAAGGAACCAACACAACCUUACAUACCCAUGUGACAUAUAA